CGCACGCUUCCUCCUCCAUCCCCUUCCGCGUGAAAAUAUCUGCUGCUCUCUCUCUCUCUCUCCUUCCACUUCAUCCCUCUGCGCCGCCUCCUCUCCUCCCGAUUUGCAUCCUCCCCCAAUCCCCGCCUCCUCUCCUCCUCCCCAAUCCGACGCCUCUCGCCGCGCUCUCUCCUUCCCCUACGCUUUCGACCCCACCCUCGCAAGCUCCCAAGGAUCCGCCGAGUGGAGAACCAGGAAGGAGGAGGGACGUGAAGAGGAGAAGAGGGGGUGCGUCACAGGAGACCUAGGCGGCGGCUCGAGCAGAGGAGCGGGGCCUCGAGACGCCGCAUCCGCCACUCCCCUACCUCGAACCAGCUGCCGCCAUGGAGAAGGACGUGCAGUAGGGGAGGCCGGCGGUGGAGGGAGGAGCGGCGAGGACAGAGGCGCCGGCUGUCAGGGACCUCCCAGCCUUCUUCUUCUCCACGUCAGGUGGAGUUGGAGCCGUCGAGCGCGACCUCGAUCUGGAGUAGGGUAGCAGCAGCCACAGGGGGCUCCAACCUCGUCUCCGCGGGAGGGGGCAGGUGCAGCUCCUCCUCUCCACUCCCCCACGUGACAGCGGCCCCAACCCCCACCCCAACCCCACCACCUCUAGCCCCUCUGCAAUGGAAGUCUCUUUUUUUCUCUCUUCUUCCGCCCCCGUCCAAGGAUUGGUCUGUGAUUCUCGUCUGUUGUUUUUGUUGGGCAGUGUUUCGGUGUUUGGUUUUAAUGGUGGGUGGUGAGAAGAACAGAGGUGGAAGCAGGACCGCGAGGCCGGAGCUCCAGGUGUCGCUCGCGUUUAGGUGGAGUGGAGAGGUGUCGCGGGCCAUGACUGAUGGGUCGUUGCUCACUGGUCGUCGUCCCCUGUCCACCAUCCAGGUUGCACGUCCUCAUCAUAAUCUGAUUUUGAUUCCUUGAUUUUUCUGAUAAAGAGAGGAAGAAUUGGGGAUACAAGUAGUAGGCCUUAGAUUCUUUGCCUCCAGCAGAAGAAAUGAUUCAUGUGUGCCUCCCUUUUUGUUAUAUCUUACAUAAUUUCUAAUCUGGGCAAGUAUCACAUAAUCAGCUUGGCAGCUAAUAUCCAAAAUUGUUAGUGUCGUCGGUACAUUGAUAUCUUAUUUUGGUAAAGGUUUUUCUAUCAAGAACUACAUAUGCUCGACAUGGUGUCAUGGUAUCUACAGUUGUUGUGGAGCCUGCUGGUAUUCUUACCCUUAAUCGCCUCUUUCCCUUCUCUGUAUGAACCCUUUCUUGAUUUGUUUUUGUUUGCGAUCUGCUCUGCUUGUUUUGACUCUUUUUAGUUGAUGCAUUAUUCUAUCUAUUUUUGUGUACUCAGGUGCCUAUGCGAGAAACAUUGGAAGAAUCCAUGUAUUUAGCCGUGGCAUGUUUGGCAGCUACAGCAGCUUCUGCAGCUUUCUUCCCUCGUCAUUCCUCAUAUAUGUGGGCAAUUCAAUGUUGUUACCAGUGGGAGUCCAUAGUGCGUGUGUGUCUGGUCCAGUAUGUGGUUCCAUAGGAUAAGAAAAAAGUUUGUCAAGAAUGGAUCUCUAAAUGUGUUUCGCCUUGAGGUAAAUAAUUUGCAUGAUGUCUACUUUUCGUUAAUUUGGGUCAGGCCAAAAUAAGGUGUAGGCAAAUUUCAGAUUUUUUAUCUGUACUGCAUUUUCACAAAUUAAAACAGUGACCUUGACAUUACCAGUCUAUGGGGGGAGUCAUGGAGAAGCCAAGCUUAAAUGAGAUUUCAAAAUUUUGUGGCCUUUGUUAACAUUUAAAAACCUGGUGCUUCUACUUGUGAAAGAACAGGUAGAGAUAAGGCCCAUCAGUUCAGGUAGAGAUAGUGAAAGAACAGAAGGACUGAGCAAGAGGAGGAACUUCGUCGACCCAGCCGUGAGCAAAUGAUGCUCUAGCGAGUCGAUGAUGACCGUCAUGGAGAUCUGCCUGCAGGGCCUGACCAAGGAACCAACGCUGAAGCCGUUAGACGAGGACGUGCUCUAGAACCUGCAGUUUGCAGCCCUAGUGUAGGAUGACUGGAACAGCGAGGAGUCCCCGCUCUCAUCAUCGCAGAUCCGUGCACAAUCCGCAGAGUACUAACCUCUAGGAAGGCUGAGAAAAAAUAUUGGCAAGCAUUACCAUUAUGAUCCUCCAUCGAUCAUCAUUGUUGACGGAAUUUCUGUUUCUCUUCAUAUAGGAUACAGAUAUGUGAUUCUCAUGUGAUCCUUUUGCUGGAAACUUGCUAAUCUUAGGGGUGUUGCUACUGGUGUAGAAACCGUUUUAUCAAAAGAACUAAAGUAGUAGCUAAUCCAAGCAUUCAAGAAUUGACCCAGAGGUUACGCUAUACCGGCACGAAGUCAGAGCAGCGCCUAAAGACUACACAAGAUAGUUUCUGAUGACCUUCAGUCUAUAUGUCCUAACCAACAACAUCCACCUUUUGUUUUAUCAAUUGAUCCAGUAUCUUUGCCCUUUUGGCAUUGCUUUGAGCAAGAUAUGUAUAGCCUUUAGAUUUUCAUUCAUGUAUGAUACUGCACGUACACUUUAGACCUCAUUACCGUCUCUGUGGUCAAAAGAAGUUUGUGAUUAAUUGUUCUAUAUAUGUAAUCAACUGCCCUUCUACUAAUAUUUUCAGAAGACUAUUUAUAUAUGUUUA